GAGCAAUCUGUGUGACUGCGUACCUUUUGUAUAAUGGGUCAGCGACUUAUAUUCUGUAGCAAGGUUAACCGAAUAGGGGAGCCGAAGGGAAACCGAGUCUUAACUGGGCGUUAAGUUGCAGGGUAUAGACCCGAAACCCGGUGAUCUAGCCAUGGGCAGGUUGAAGGUUGGGUAACACUAACUGGAGGACCGAACCGACUAAUGUUGAAAAAUUAGCGGAUGACUUGUGGCUGGGGGUGAAAGGCCAAUCAAACCGGGAGAUAGCUGGUUCUCCCCGAAAGCUAUUUAGGUAGCGCCUCGUGAAUUCAUCUCCGGGGGUAGAGCACUGUUUCGGCAAGGGGGUCAUCCCGACUUACCAACCCGAUGCAAACUGCGAAUACCGGAGAAUGUUAUCACGGGAGACACACGGCGGGUGCUAACGUCCGUCGUGAAGAGGGAAACAACCCAGACCGCCAGCUAAGGUCCCAAAGUCAUGGUUAAGUGGGAAACGAUGUGGGAAGGCCCAGACAGCCAGGAUGUUGGCUUAGAAGCAGCCAUCAUUUAAAGAAAGCGUAAUAGCUCACUGGUCGAGUCGGCCUGCGCGGAAGAUGUAACGGGGCUAAACCAUGCACCGAAGCUGCGGCAGCGACGCUUAUGCGUUGUUGGGUAGGGGAGCGUUCUGUAAGCCUGUGAAGGUGUACUGUGAGGUAUGCUGGAGGUAUCAGAAGUGCGAAUGCUGACAUAAGUAACGAUAAAGCGGGUGAAAAGCCCGCUCGCCGGAAGACCAAGGGUUCCUGUCCAACGUUAAUCGGGGCAGGGUGAGUCGACCCCUAAGGCGAGGCCGAAAGGCGUAGUCGAUGGGAAACAGGUUAAUAUUCCUGUACUUGGUGUUACUGCGAAGGGGGGACGGAGAAGGCUAUGUUGGCCGGGCGACGGUUGUCCCGGUUUAAGCGUGUAGGCUGGUUUUCCAGGCAAAUCCGGAAAAUCAAGGCUGAGGCGUGAUGACGAGGCACUACGGUGCUGAAGCAACAAAUGCCCUGCUUCCAGGAAAAGCCUCUAAGCAUCAGGUAACAUCAAAUCGUACCCCAAACCGACACAGGUGGUCAGGUAGAGAAUACCAAGGCGCUUGAGAGAACUCGGGUGAAGGAACUAGGCAAAAUGGUGCCGUAACUUCGGGAGAAGGCACGCUGAUAUGUAGGUGAAGUCCCUCGCGGAUGGAGCUGAAAUCAGUCGAAGAUACCAGCUGGCUGCAACUGUUUAUUAAAAACACAGCACUGUGCAAACACGAAAGUGGACGUAUACGGUGUGACGCCUGCCCGGUGCCGGAAGGUUAAUUGAUGGGGUCAGCGCAAGCGAAGCUCUUGAUCGAAGCCCCGGUAAACGGCGGCCGUAACUAUAACGGUCCUAAGGUAGCGAAAUUCCUUGUCGGGUAAGUUCCGACCUGCACGAAUGGCGUAAUGAUGGCCAGGCUGUCUCCACCCGAGACUCAGUGAAAUUGAACUCGCUGUGAAGAUGCAGUGUACCCGCGGCAAGACGGAAAGACCCCGUGAACCUUUACUAUAGCUUGACACUGAACAUUGAGCCUUGAUG
rnacentral:rRNA from 1 species